UUUCCGUAGGUGAACCUGCGGAAGGAUCAUUAAUAAAUGGUCUACGUUUUUUUAAGUAGACGCUUAAUAAUCCUACCCUUUGUGAAUUUGUUUGUUUGAAAUAAUUUUUUUUAAAUUAUUGAAUGUCUUUCCCUGUUGAAUUGGUUGUCUUAUGGCAAAUGAUUCGCAGGGAGUGUCAGUAAUUUUUAAAAAAGACCUUUUUUUAAAUUAAACUUUUUGUAUUCAUUUGUCUAAAAUUAUUUUUAUAAUAUAAAAACAACUUUGACAAUGGAUCUCUUGGUUCUCGCAACGAUGAAGAACGCAGCAAAAUGCGAUAAGUAGUGUGAAUUGCAGAAUACGUGAAUCAUCGAAUCUUCGAACGCAUAUUGCACUUUUUUAGUUUACUAAAAAGUAUGUCUGUUUGAGUAUCAGUAAAAUAUUCUCAUAAAAAACAUUGUUUUUAUGGUUAUGAGUGUUUUACAACGAUACAAGUUGUUUCACUUUAAAUUUUUUUAAAAAUUUGAAUUUUUCUAAUUUUAAAAUAAAAUUGGAUAAAAUUUUCCCGUAAAAAGGAAUAACCUAAACAAUUUUAAAUUUUUGAUUAGAAUUCUUCACAUUCUAAAGGAAAAUUUAACUAAAUAACUUGAUCUCAAAUCAGAUAAGAGUACCCGCUGAACUUAAGCAUAUCAAUAAGCGGAGCAAAAGAAACUAACAAGGAUUCCCUUAGUAACGGCGAGUGAAGCGGGAAGAGCUCAAAUUUGAAAUCUUCAGGUUUUACCUUGACGAAUUGUAGUUUAAAGAAGUGGUUUCUGUUGAAGUUUUGGUAAAAGUUCUUUGGAAUAGGACAUCAUAGAGGGUGAGAAUCCCGUAUUUGACCAUUAUUUUCAGCUGUGUGAUACACUUUCAAAGAGUCGGAUUGUUUGGGAAUGCAGUCCAAAAUGGGUGGUAAACUUCAUCUAAAGCUAAAUAUUGGCGAGAGACCGAUAGCGAACAAGUACCGUGAGGGAAAGAUGAAAAGAACUUUGAAAAGAGAGUUAAACAGUACGUGAAAUUGUCAAAAGGGAAGCGUUUGACACCAGUGUUGUUUUCUCGAAAAUCAAUUAAAAAAAGUUGGAUUCUGUGUUGUAUUGACCUUAACAGCUUGCUUCACUCUUUUCCUGCUUUUUUUAAUGCACUUUUCGUUUAACAAGUCAACAUCAGUUUCUUUUGUUGUAAAAGGGUCAUUGGAAGGUGGCUUUCUCUUCGGAGAAAGUGUUUAUAGCCUUUGAUCUCUGCAAUCGGAGAGACUGAGGUCUGCAGCGUAGAUCCUUCGGGGUUAGAUACAUUUGUGCUAAGCUACAGCUUUUCAUAGACAACUUGUUGACUAUGUUUAGUCUUGUAACUUCCCGCUUAUGCUAUUU
rnacentral:misc_RNA from 1 species